rnacentral:rRNA from 1 species
AGAGUUUGAUCCUGGCUCAGAACGAACGCUGGCGGCGUGUUUAAGACAUGCAAGUCGAACGGAGUGAAGUUGUAGUAAUACCGCUUCAUUCAGUGGCGCACGGGUGCGUAACACGUGAGUUACAUGCCCUGCAGUGGGGAAUAGCCCGCCGAAAGGCGGAUUAAUACUCCAUGGUCCCGCAAGGGUAAAGGUGGCCGCAAGGCUGCCGCUGCAGGAUUGGCUCGCGGCCUAUCAGCUUGUUGGUGAGGUAACGGCUCACCAAGGCGACGACGGGUACCUGGUCUGAGAGGAUGAUCAGGCACACUGGAACUGAGACACGGUCCAGACACCUACGGGUGGCAGCAGUCGAGAAUAAUUCACAAUGGGGGAAACCCUGAUGGUGCAACGCCGCGUGGAGGAUGAAGGUCUUCGGAUUGUAAACUCCUGUCAUCGGGGAGUAAGACCUGGAGGUGAAUAGCCUACAGGGUUGAUAGUACCCGAAGAGGAAGGGACGGCUAACUUCGUGCCAGCAGCCGCGGUAAUACGAAGGUCCCAAGCGUUGUUCGGAAUCACUGGGCGUAAAGGGAGCGUAGGCGGCGUGGUAAGUCAGAUGUGAAAUCCCGGGGCUCAACCCCGGAACUGCAUCCGAUACUGCCGUGCUUGAGGGUUGGAGAGGUAGCUGGAAUUCUCGGUGUAGCAGUGAAAUGCGUGGAUAUCGAGAGGAACACUCGUGGCGAAGGCGAGCUACUGGACAACAUCUGACGCUGAGGCUCGAAGGCUAGGGGAGCAAAAGGGAUUAGAUACCCCUGUAGUCCUAGCAG